UGGCUCAGUUGGUUGAGUGUCUGACUUCAGCUCAGAUCAUGAUCUCACAGUUCGUGGGUUUGAGCCCCAU
rnacentral:tRNA from 1 species